GAGCGAGCUAAAAGAUGGAGCAUCCAUGAGUAAAGCGGCGGCACGGGUGAGCUAACACGUGACUAUACCUACCCUCGAGCGGGGAAUGACCUGGGGAAACCCGGGCCUAUACCGCAUAACACCUACGGGUCACAGGAGCAAUCCACUUGAGGAGGGGGUCGCGGCAGAUUAGUCAGUUGGCGGGGAAAUGGCCCACCAAGACGAUGAUCUGUCUUCCGGCCUGAGAGGGCGCCAGGUACACACUGGAACUUGAACACCGUCACCCACUC
rnacentral:rRNA from 1 species